UUGCGGUUAAAAAGCUCGUAGUUGGAUUUCUGUUGAGCUCGUCCGGUCCGCCCUCUGGGUGAGUACAUGGAACGGGCUUGACUUCUUCUUGGGGAACGUAUCUGCACUUGACUGUGUGGUGCGGUAUCCAGGGCUUUUACUUUGAGGAAAUUAGAGUGUUUCAAGCAGGCAUGCGCUUUGAAUACAUUAGCAUGGAAUAAUAAUAUAGGACCUCGGUUCUAUUUUGUUGGUUUCUAGAGCUGAGGUAAUGAUUAAUAGGGAUAGUUGGGGGCAUUCGUAUUUAACUGUCAGAGGUGAAAUCCUUGGGUUUGUUAAAGACGGACUACUGCGAAAGCAUUUGCCAAGGAUGUUUUCAUUGAUCAAGAACGAAAGUUAGGGGAUCGAAGACGAUCAGAUACCGUCCUAGUCUUAACCAUAAACCAUGCCGACUAGAGAUUGGAGGUCGUUACUUUUACGACUCCUUCAGCACCUUAUGAGAAAUCAAAGUCUUUGGGUUCCGGGGGGA
rnacentral:rRNA from 1 species